GACGAACGCUGGCGGCGUGCUUAACACAUGCAAGUCGAGCGGUAAGGCCCUUUCGGGGGUACACGAGCGGCGAACGGGUGAGUAACACGUGGGUGACCUGCCCUCAGCUCUGGGAUAAGCCUGGGAAACCGGGUCUAAUACCGGAUAUGACUCCAUGACGCAUGUUGUGGGGUGGAAAGCCUUGUGCGGCUGAGGAUGGGCCCGCGGCCUAUCAGCUUGUUGGUGGGGUGAUGGCCUACCAAGGCGACGACGGGUAGCCGGCCUGAGAGGGCGACCGGCCACACUGGGACUGAGACACGGCCCAGACUCUACGGGAGGCAGCAGUGGGGAAUCUUGCGCAAUGGGCGAAAGCCUGAUCCAGCAAUGCCGCGUGUGUGAAGAAGGCCUGCGGGUUGUAAAGCACUUUCAGU
rnacentral:rRNA from 1 species